rnacentral:lncRNA from 1 species
ACCUCCACCGGCUCCAUCUCUCUCAGCUGCUGCAACCACCACCGCCACAGCCACCGCCGCCGCUGCGACCACCACCUUACCCUCUCACCUCACCCCCACCAACUCCACACCCGCCACCUACCCAGACUCCAUCGAUUCCUCUCCUCGCUCUCGCACCACUGAUUCUUACUUGGAUGACCCGCCUCCUCUGUCCUCCAAGCUCCGCCUUAUGUGCUCCUAUGGUGGCCAUAUCGUUCCUCGCCCGCAUGACAAGUCCUUGUGCUAUGUCGGCGGCGAUACUCGUAUUGUCGUUGUUGACCGCCACACGACUCUCUCUUCUCUCUCAACACGUCUUUCAAAUACUCUGCUUAAUGGCCGCCCUUUUACUCUCAAGUAUCAGCUUCCGAGCGAAGACUUGGAUUCUCUUAUUUCUGUCACUACUGAUGAGGAUUUAGAUAAUAUGAUCGAUGAGUA